CACGUAGGGGGCAAGCGUUGUCCGGAUUUAUUGGGCGUAAAGAGCGUGUAGGCGGCUAGGUAGGUCCGUUGUGAAAACUCGAGGCUCAACCUCGAGACGCCGGUGGAAACCAUCUAGCUAGAGUCCGGAAGAGGAGAGUGGAAUUCCUGGUGUAGCGGUGAAAUGCGCAGAUAUCAGGAAGAACACCCGUGGCGAAGGCGGCUCUCUGGGACGUGACUGACGCUGAGACGCGAAAGCGUGGGGAGCGAACAGG
rnacentral:rRNA from 1 species